rnacentral:rRNA from 1 species
AUUGAACGCUGGCGGCAUGCUUUACACAUGCAAGUCGUGCGGCAGCGCGGGGGCAACCCUGGCGGCGAGCGGCGAACGGGUGAGGAAUACAUCGGAACGUACCCCGGAGUGGGGGAUAACCCAGCGAAAGUUGGACUAAUACCGCAUAUGCUCUGAGGAGGAAAGCAGGGGACUUCGCAAGAGGCCUUGCGCUCUGGGAGCGGCCGAUGUCCGAUUAGCUAGUUGGGGGGUAAUGGCUCACCAAGGCGACGAUCGGUAGCUGGUCUGAGAGGAUGAUCAGCCACACUGGGACUGAGACACGGCCCAGACUCCUACGGGAGGCAGCAGUGGGAAUUUUGGACAAUGGGGGCAACCCUGAUCCAGCCAUGCCGCGUGCGGGAAGAAGGCCU